UCGCCCAGUUUCGUGGGGCCGUUGUGGAACCUGCAACGAGGACAUUAUGGUAUUGGCUGCUCGUUAAAUAAAAAAAAUUCGUCUUUGACCGAAAUCGACUGCAAUAUUUUUACUUUUAUGUAUAUAUAUAGAUUUCGAUAAGAUGUUAUAAAUCCUAACAAUAAUAAAUAUUUUUUUUACUA